GAAGGUAUAGCUCAAAUGGUAGAGCACAUGCUUAGUAUGCAUGAGGUCCUGGGUUCAAUCCCCAGUACCUCCU
rnacentral:tRNA from 1 species